AAUGAACGUUGGCGGCGUGGAUUAGGCAUGCAAGUCGUACGGGUCGGUGUAGCAAUACAACGGCAAGUGGCGAAAGGGAGAGUAACGCGUGGAUACCUACCCUCUGGUCGGGGAUACCGCGGCAUAACCGCAAGUAAUACCCGAUAAUAUCUCCGGAUCAAAGGUGUGAUUCCGCCGGAGGAGGGGUCUGCGUUUCAUCAGCUUGUUGGUGAGGUAACGGCUCACCAAGGCUAAGACGAAUACGGGGUGUGAGAGCAUGCCCCCGCUCACUGGGACUGAGACACUGCCCAGACGCCUACGGGUGGCUGCAGUCGAGAAGCUUCGGCAAUGGGCGCAAGCCUGACCGAGCGACGCCGCGUGCGGGAUGAAGGCCUUCGGGUUGUAAACCGCUGUCGAGGGGGAUAAAGUGCAGGUGGGUUCUCCCAUUUGUUUGAUAGAUCCCUGGAGGAAGCAUGGGCUAAGUUCGUGCCAGCCGCCGCCGUAAUAC
rnacentral:rRNA from 1 species